UAUGUGAGACCCAUAUGAGGAAGCAGUACAUGUGAAAUACAAUUGUACAAAUAUGUACUUGAAGCAUAUCCGAUUAUAUAUAGAAUCUGAUUGAACCUUAUAUCAACUCAAGAAUGCAUUUUUUGUGUUUAUGAUUAAAAUGGUUGAAGCAAUCUUAUUGGAUGUGAGAUUCAUUCGGAGAAGCAUCUUAAUGUUAUGAAUGUUCAGGUAUGUGGGAAAGGUAAUCCAAAAUGGGGAGAGGAUGGAACUUAGAUUAAAGGUUUCUUAAACAAGAAGGACAUGGUGACAUGAUUCUAGCAAAACCGCUUGAAGAGGAUUGGAGUUAGCUUGGUCAAAGAGAAUUAUAAAGGUCACUUAUGAAAUAGAUUUUUUUUGAGGUUGUUCAAGCAUUGGAUUUCAUGUGACAAGUUCAUCUACAUAGCACAUAUUGGUGACGUGUGGGAUAUUUUGCAAGUGGGAGGUGACAACUUCUCAUGUCAUAAUGGGGUCACUCAAAUGUGUCUCACCAGUCAUAAUAGGGAAAAUUAGGUUGGGUAUUUUGGAAAAAUCAAACGUGUACAAAGUUAAAUAUUAUGUUUAAAAUUUGAUGUAACAAUAAUAAAACUCAUUCUUAUUAGUAAUAAUUUGGUUGAAUCAUGCUACUUU